GACGUAGGGCGCGAGCGUUGUCCGGAUUAUUGGCGUAAAGAGCUCGUAGGCGGCUUGUCGCGUCGUCCGUGAAAAAACCUGCGGCUCAACUGCAGGCUGGCGGUCGAUACGGGCAGGCUGGAGUUCGGUAGGGGGAGACUGGAAUUCCUGGUGUAGCGGUGAAAAUGCGCAGAUAUCAGGAGGAAAACACCGGUGGCGAAAGGGCGGGUCUCUGGGCCCGAUACUGACGCUGAGGGAGCGAAAGCGUGGGAGCGAAAACAGG
rnacentral:rRNA from 1 species